GUCUCGAGGAAAGAAGCACUUUCUGUUGUCUAAAGAAAAGGAAGUGUUUCCUUCCCGAGGGU
rnacentral:pre_miRNA from 1 species